GCAUGGAUACAAUGUUGCCAUGUUGGAGUCUAGGAGCAGUGGGGGCAGUGCCUGGCUGAACACAGAACAAGAAACACAGAGUACAGCCAUUUGGGACAGGGGUACAAGGUAAGUAAACCUGGGACAGGGGUACAAGGUAAGUAAGGGGUUUACAAACAGUGACAUGUUAACAAUCUUCUAAUUAUUCUUAACAGUGGUCUUUCCAAGCUCAAACUGGUCUUUACGGAUUGAUGAAGAGCUCUCAGAAGUGCUGGUACCACUGUGUAUAUUCCACAUGCCAAGCAGAAAUUCAGUCAGCCUUCCGUGGGGCCUGGCCAGAGUAACAGCUAUAGCUGAUCACCCCAGGCCAGCACCAUGGGUAGCUGGUGAUUCCCUUUGUGAAUGAGCAUGAGAAAAGAACAGAACAAAAACAUGUCCUGUGUGUGGUUGUAUGGAUGGGAAGGAGUUGAGUCCAAAGUUCCUGGUUCAUUCCAAAGGACUGAAAUGAGAAAUGAUCUACACUAUCAAGGCACUGUUUGA
rnacentral:lncRNA from 1 species